CGGGGUGCAGCAGGCGCGAAACCUCUGCAAUAGGCGAAAGCCUGACAGGGUUACUCUGAGUGAUCUCCGUUAAGGAGAUCUUUUGGCACCUCUAAAAAUGGUGCAGAAUAAGGGGUGGGCAAGUCUGGUGUCAGCCGCCGCGGUAAUACCAGCACCCCGAGUGGUCGGGACGUUUAUUGGGCCUAAAGCAUCCGUAGCCGGUUCUACAAGUCUUCCGUUAAAUCCAGCUGCUUAACAGAUGGGCUGCGGAAGAUACUAUGGAGCUAGGAGGCGGGAGAGGCAAGCGGUACUCGAUGGGUAGGGGUAAAAUCCGUUGAUCCAUUGAAGACCACCAGUGGCGAAGGCGGCUUGCCAGAACGCGCUCGACGGUGAGGGAUGAAAGCUGGGGGAGCAAACCGGAUUAGAUACCCGGGUAGUCCCAGCUGUAAACGAUGCGGACUCGGUGAUGAGUUGGCUACAUGCCAUCUCAGUGCCGCAGGGAAGCCGUUAAGUUUGCCGCCUGGGGAGUACGGUCGCAAGACUGAAACUUAAAGGAAUUGGCGGGGGAGCACCACAAGGGGUGAAGCCUGCGGUUCAAUUGGAGUCAACGCCGGAAAUCUUACCGGGGGCGACAGCAGUAUGAAGGUCAAGCUGAAGACUUUACCAGACAAGCUGAGAGGAGGUGCAUGGCCGUCGCCAGCUCGUGCCGUGAGGUGUCCUGUUAAGUCAGGUAACGAGCGAGACCC
rnacentral:rRNA from 1 species